rnacentral:rRNA from 1 species
GGGUUGUGAGGUUAAGCGACUAAGCGUACACGGUGGAUGCCCUGGCAGUCAGAGGCGAUGAAGGACGUGCUAAUCUGCGAUAAGCGUCGGUAAGGUGAUAUGAACCGUUAUAACCGGCGAUUUCCGAAUGGGGAAACCCAGUGUGUUUCGACACACUAUCAUUAACUGAAUCCAUAGGUUAAUGAGGCGAACCGGGGGAACUGAAACAUCUAAGUACCCGAGGAAAAGAAAUCAACCGAGAUUCCCCAGUAGCGGCGAGCGAACGGGGAGCAGCCCAGAGCCUGAAUCAGUGUGUGUGUUAGUGGAAGCGUCUGGAAAGGCGCGCGAUACAGGGUGACAGCCCCGUACACAAAAAUGCACAUGCUGUGAGCUCGAUGAGUAGGGCGGGACACGUGGUAUCCUGUCUGAAUAUGGGGGGACCAUCCUCCAAGGCUAAAUACUCCUGACUGACCGAUAGUGAACCAGUACCGUGAGGGAAAGGCGAAAAGAACCCCGGCGAGGGGAGUGAAAAAGAACCUGAAACCGUGUACGUACAAGCAGUGGGAGCCUCUUUUAUGGGGUGACUGCGUACCUUUUGUAUAAUGGGUCAGCGACUUAUAUUCUGUAGCAAGGUUAACCGAAUAGGGGAGCCGAAGGGAAACCGAGUCUUAACUGGGCGUUAAGUUGCAGGGUAUAGACCCGAAACCCGGUGAUCUAGCCAUGGGCAGGUUGAAGGUUGGGUAACACUAACUGGAGGACCGAACCGACUAAUGUUGAAAAAUUAGCGGAUGACUUGUGGCUGGGGGUGAAAGGCCAAUCAAACCGGGAGAUAGCUGGUUCUCCCCGAAAGCUAUUUAGGUAGCGCCUCGUGAAUUCAUCUCCGGGGGUAGAGCACUGUUUCGGCAAGGGGGUCAUCCCGACUUACCAACCCGAUGCAAACUGCGAAUACCGGAGAAUGUUAUCACGGGAGACACACGGCGGGUGCUAACGUCCGUCGUGAAGAGGGAAACAACCCAGACCGCCAGCUAAGGUCCCAAAGUCAUGGUUAAGUGGGAAACGAUGUGGGAAGGCCCAGACAGCCAGGAUGUUGGCUUAGAAGCAGCCAUCAUUUAAAGAAAGCGUAAUAGCUCACUGGUCGAGUCGGCCUGCGCGGAAGAUGUAACGGGGCUAAACCAUGCACCGAAGCUGCGGCAGCGACGCUUAUGCGUUGUUGGGUAGGGGAGCGUUCUGUAAGCCUGUGAAGGUGUGCUGUGAGGCAUGCUGGAGGUAUCAGAAGUGCGAAUGCUGACAUAAGUAACGAUAAAGCGGGUGAAAAGCCCGCUCGCCGGAAGACCAAGGGUUCCUGUCCAACGUUAAUCGGGGCAGGGUGAGUCGACCCCUAAGGCGAGGCCGAAAGGCGUAGUCGAUGGGAAACAGGUUAAUAUUCCUGUACUUGGUGUUACUGCGAAGGGGGACGGAGAAGGCUAUGUUGGCCGGGCGACGGUUGUCCCGGUUUAAGCGUGUAGGCUGGUUUUCCAGGCAAAUCCGGAAAAUCAAGGCUGAGGCGUGAUGACGAGGCACUACGGUGCUGAAGCAACAAAUGCCCUGCUUCCAGGAAAAGCCUCUAAGCAUCAGGUAACAUCAAAUCGUACCCCAAACCGACACAGGUGGUCAGGUAGAGAAUACCAAGGCGCUUGAGAGAACUCGGGUGAAGGAACUAGGCAAAAUGGUGCCGUAACUUCGGGAGAAGGCACGCUGAUAUGUAGGUGAAGCGACUUGCUCGUGGAGCUGAAAUCAGUCGAAGAUACCAGCUGGCUGCAACUGUUUAUUAAAAACACAGCACUGUGCAAACACGAAAGUGGACGUAUACGGUGUGACGCCUGCCCGGUGCCGGAAGGUUAAUUGAUGGGGUCAGCGCAAGCGAAGCUCUUGAUCGAAGCCCCGGUAAACGGCGGCCGUAACUAUAACGGUCCUAAGGUAGCGAAAUUCCUUGUCGGGUAAGUUCCGACCUGCACGAAUGGCGUAAUGAUGGCCAGGCUGUCUCCACCCGAGACUCAGUGAAAUUGAACUCGCUGUGAAGAUGCAGUGUACCCGCGGCAAGACGGAAAGACCCCGUGAACCUUUACUAUAGCUUGACACUGAACAUUGAGCCUUGAUGUGUAGGAUAGGUGGGAGGCUUUGAAGUGUGGACGCCAGUCUGCAUGGAGCCGACCUUGAAAUACCACCCUUUAAUGUUUGAUGUUCUAACGUUGACCCGUAAUCCGGGUUGCGGACAGUGUCUGGUGGGUAGUUUGACUGGGGCGGUCUCCUCCUAAAGAGUAACGGAGGAGCACGAAGGUUGGCUAAUCCUGGUCGGACAUCAGGAGGUUAGUGCAAUGGCAUAAGCCAGCUUGACUGCGAGCGUGACGGCGCGAGCAGGUGCGAAAGCAGGUCAUAGUGAUCCGGUGGUUCUGAAUGGAAGGGCCAUCGCUCAACGGAUAAAAGGUACUCCGGGGAUAACAGGCUGAUACCGCCCAAGAGUUCAUAUCGACGGCGGUGUUUGGCACCUCGAUGUCGGCUCAUCACAUCCUGGGGCUGAAGUAGGUCCCAAGGGUAUGGCUGUUCGCCAUUUAAAGUGGUACGCGAGCUGGGUUUAGAACGUCGUGAGACAGUUCGGUCCCUAUCUGCCGUGGGCGCUGGAGAACUGAGGGGGGCUGCUCCUAGUACGAGAGGACCGGAGUGGACGCAUCACUGGUGUUCGGGUUGUCAUGCCAAUGGCACUGCCCGGUAGCUAAAUGCGGAAGAGAUAAGUGCUGAAAGCAUCUAAGCACGAAACUUGCCCCGAGAUGAGUUCUCCCUGACUCCUUGAGAGUCCUGAAGGAACGUUGAAGACGACGACGUUGAUAGGCCGGGUGUGUAAGCGCAGCGAUGCGUUGAGCUAACCGGUACUAAUGAACCGUGAGGCUUAACCUUACAACGCCGAAGGUGUUU